rnacentral:piRNA from 1 species
UACAGGUUAAGCUAACGAGACAAAGUAUCA